rnacentral:lncRNA from 1 species
CUGGAGAAGAGCCCAGGGCCUCUGGAAGUCCAAUUGUCCUGCAAGUCCCUGAGUGAUGACAGCCUGAAGAUCCUGCUGCAGUGCCUGCCCCAGCUGCCUCAGCUCAGCCUGCUGCAGCUGAGACACACAGUCCUAUCUUCAAGAAGCCCCUUCCUGCUGGCUGACAUCUUCAACCUGUGCCCACGGGUUCGGAAGGUCACUCUCAGGUCCCUAUGUCAUGCUGUUCUGCACUUUGACUCCAAUGAGGAACAAGAGGGUGUGUGCUGUGGCUUCCCGGGAUGCAGCCUCAGCCAGGAGCAUAUGGAAACACUGUGCUGUGCACUGAGCAAGUGCAAUGCCCUCAGCCAGCUUGAUCUCACAGACAAUCUGCUGGGUGACAUCGGGCUCAGGUGCCUUCUGGAGUGCCUGCCACAGCUGCCCAUCUCUGGGUGGCUUGACCUCAGUCACAACAAUAUCUCUCAGGAAGGGAUCCUGUACCUGCUGGAGACUCUGCCUUCCUACCCUAAUAUCCAAGAGGUCUC